GUCCAUGUGACAUUCGUCUACCUCACAGUGACUGCAGUUUAGGUAAUGCUUAAUGUUCACUUCCCCGUGGCCCUCCAUCACUGGUGACAAGGAGGGAGGGUAAGUCUGGGGCCGAGCCUGUGGAGACCGCCUUGCACCUCAUUCCCAGCCUUUGUGCUGUCUCUCUAGCUGGUGCCUGUGGUUUCUCUGGUUCUUGUCCCUAGGUCCUACUGCCACUGGAGCCUCUGGUGAGGAGCUGGACAGAGAACCUGGGGUGCCCACAGAGGUCUGCACUUUGUGUGUACCUCGGACAGUACACACAAAAUGUACCCUUGUGUGACCCUUUGGUUGGCUGGUUCAGGUGUGAGUAGCCCUGAGGUUUUAGCUUAAGGAGGGUCAUUGUUGGAGGCCGUGUUGCCACCUGUGGCAAACCAGAGAGGAGUUUAACACAGAGAGGUGGGUGCCAACAUCUCAACACACAUGCGCAUCAGCGGGGCGUGCAGCUCUGGUCAAAGCCAGGGGGUCUCUGGGGGCCUUGGGUGGGGCACUGGAGAGGGAAGGGAGGCUCAGAGCACAGCAGCUGCACUUGGGACUUGGUAUGUGGACAACCCCACUCCUCCCAUCCAGACCAACUCCCAUGGGGGAGUCUCUGUCAUUCUGCCGGCCCCACUAGGAAGCAGUCAGUGUGAGUGAGAAUCCAGAAAGUUCUGGUCUCCCCAAGCUGGGACACACCCUUGGUGCCUCUUCUGGGACCUAUCAGGACAGUAGCUCUGAGGACUUGCCCCAUCCCAGGGGAUGAAGGUUGGGGUUUUGGAGAUGGCCCCUGUGCCCUGAGGCUCCUGUCCCUCCUUUCACCUGGGGCUGGGUUAUCUCUGGGCUCCCCCCUCGGGCUCCUCCUCCCACCCAGGACUUGGGAAGGACAAGCGUGUGGUUAACCCAAGCGUCUGACACACAGCUUCAAAGCCAAACAUAGACACGAACAUCACAGCACGGGCAUGCAUUGUCCUAGUCUGUGGGGCGGGGGCUUCAUCUCCCAGCCUCUCAGCGUCAGAAGGCUCUUCUGACUGAGCUCGGAGGCCCAGAGGAAGCAGCUGGGAGCAGCUCCCAUCAGAAUGGGAAGCGGUGCCUUGUGGCAGCCGCAGGGCUGGGGCAGGGAGUAGGGUGUGGAGCUCGUGAAACCACAAACUGGUCUCUUCAGGAGCCGGCUUGGCCAGGCCAUCCAGAGGGAGGCUGGGGAGGACCUGCCUCUGAGAGUCCCAUGCCAGCAAGUCCCUAUGGGUGACUCAGAGAAUGGUCUGGAAAGCCCAAGCCUCUUUGGCCUGGGCUUUGGGGGACAUCAAGAGUCCUAUGGGCUCUUGAUGCUGCUUCUAAGGGAGCCUCGAGGCAGGAUGCUGGCUCAGAAGCGACACCCUGCCUCUGGCUGGUCCCAGUGGGGAGGGAGGCGUGCAGUCAUGGUCCACACAGGGGCCAGGGGAGGGCAGGGGCUGGCUGGGAAGGGGCAGGAAGGUGGGGUGCCUAGGACUAAGGGGGAGGGAGCGACACCUUGAACACGAAUCAUCUUUACCUAUAUAUCCUCCGCCUCCUCCACCGGAGGAGCACCCCCCGCCACCCCCUCCGAAACCCCCU